UACAGAGGGGGCAAGCGUUGUUCGGAAUUACUGGGCGUAAAGGGCGCGUAGGCGGCCUGCUAAGUCGAACGUGAAAUCCCUGGGCUCAACCCAGGAACUGCGUCCGAUACUGGUUGGCUUGAAUCCGGGAGAGGGAUGUGGAAUUCCAGGUGUAGCGGUGAAAUGCGUAGAUAUCAGGAGGAACACCAGUGGCGAAGGCGCCGCUCUGGGCCGAGACUGACGCUGAGGAGCGAAAGCGUGGGUAGCAAACAGG
rnacentral:rRNA from 1 species